AUGCUCUGUGAAGAGGUAAUUCCUGACCUCAUACUGGACUGUACCACAGCACGGGAUGUUAUCAGCAAACUCUCUGAGGUGUGUGAAAAAGCAGAAGAGCUUAUGAAUAAAGCCAAACUGUCAGGAGUGUACGAAAUGACAAAGCUGGCUCUGAAAGUAGCUGAGUGCUCAGCAGGUCUUACUCAAAUAUUGGGUGCCAUACCAACAGAAGAGAUAAUACAACAGAAAUUUGUUCCUGAAUUAUUGGAGAACAUCAGUGAGCUUCAGAAUGAAAUGACAAAAUAUGACCAAGAUGGACGACACAAUUUACACGAUGUACAGCGCCUUAAAGGUGAACUUCUACAGACUAUCGCCCAGAAGGUGUCUGACCAAUUCAUCAGUUCUUGUUCUGAACAUAUAAAUUCUUUAAAGAACAGCAUAUUUAAGAGUCACUUGAACAGUGCUGCAGGAAAGGCGCUGGACCACGUCAUGCACAGACAUAAAACUCAGCGCUUCUUUGAUGACCAGAGGGAAAAACACAACAAGAGAUCUGCGAGCCACAAGGAAGUGGAACAGCUGUCAGAUGAGGACAAAACAGAGCUAAAGCAGUAUACAGAAGAUAUGUGCAAAGCUGAUCAGCCUACUACAGCCCUCGAUGUGUACGUGCUCACAAAAAGCAGCCUGCUUGGUGGAAAAGGAAUUGAACUCACUGCCGUUGAUGAAAAUGGAAAACAGCUCACUGUGGAACGUUACCUAGGAACCAACAAAUCAGCAGGCGAUAUAAAAUUGAGAUUAACCAAAUCUCCAAAAACCACACAUCCAUCACAAGCUGAUACACAGCUGUACAGUGGCCGUUUUGACAUUGUACAGGAUGAUGGCAGGAUAGUCAGCGUUAACUCGGAUCAUCAGAAUGCUCUUUAUCAUGCUGUAGCACAAGCAACUGGCAGCGAGACAAAGGACCUAAAGACAGAAGCUUUGAUGCUACGUAAGAAAGUGAAAAAUGAGAUCCAGACAAACUUUGAGUCGUACACCCCCCUGCUUAUUCUCCAGAGAGGAUACGACUUCUGUCACAAAAAUCCCAGUAAAUACAGCAUAACUGGAGGAAGUAUAAAGAAGACCGACGUUGCUCUGCAGAAAUACUUACAGAGUGUUAAAUUCAUCAGAAGUGGCGAACAAGUCCUCAUCAAAAUGUACCAUCUUGGAUUUGUUGGUGAAUAUAAAAGUGUUGUAAGUGCUCGGAGGUCCAGUAAGAACACCACAGGGACACUUAACACAAGCCACAUUCCACCGAAGGACUCCAUCAGACUUGCUGCGUCUGUCAUAGAUAACCCAAACUCAGUGAGGGAGCUUAAAAAUAAAAACCUGCCGCUUUAUAAACUAAUCAGCAGCAUGAAGACUGACAAUCAACAGCAUAAAGACUGA
rnacentral:lncRNA from 1 species